AGAGCUGAGAGUAUGUUGCCUGACACAAACCAAGCAUCAGUCUGGUCAUUUCUAUCACCAGGAACACGCUCUGUCAUUUUUGCUGGGGUCACCAAGGUUCAUGGUAAAAGCCUCUCUGGAAGCCAGGAUGGCUGGAGGAUGCCAUAGGACAUGUGGCUCUGAAGAGACCAGGUCAAGUCAUGUGGAAGUUUGGAGAAGUUCGGGUGACAAGUAAAAUUUGAAUCAUAGCCAUGUGGACUGAUGUCAGAGGGUUUUGCCUCCUACAAGUUGCUUUCCACUUGUUUUGGUUUAACGUGUCCAUGGAUAGCUAUGAUAUCCACUGUCCUGGAACAGGGAAACAGAUUCACAGAAAACCUCAUAUUAUUCCUCAAGAACUUCCUCUGUAAGACAGCUUCUCGGCACAGCUGAUGGGGUGAGUACCAGGCAGCACUCCCUGCUCACCCCACAUAAACUUAUUUUCCCUUCACCUUGUUGUG